rnacentral:rRNA from 1 species
AUUGAACGCUGGCGGCAUGCCUUACACAUGCAAGUCGAACGGUAACAGGUCUUCGGAUGCUGACGAGUGGCGAACGGGUGAGUAAUAUAUCGGAACGUGCCUAGUAGUGGGGGAUAACUACUCGAAAGAGUGGCUAAUACCGCAUGAGAUCUACGGAUGAAAGCAGGGGAUCGCAAGACCUUGUGCUACUAGAGCGGCCGAUGGCAGAUUAGGUAGUUGGUGGGAUAAAAGCUUACCAAGCCGACGAUCUGUAGCUGGUCUGAGAGGACGAUCAGCCACACUGGGACUGAGACACGGCCCAGACUCCUACGGGAGGCAGCAGUGGGGAAUUUUGGACAAUGGGCGAAAGCCUGAUCCAGCAAUGCCGCGUGCAGGAUGAAGGCCUUCGGGUUGUAAACUGCUUUUGUACGGAACGAAAAGCCCUGGGUUAAUACCCUGGGGUCAUGACGGUACCGUAAGAAUAAGCACCGGCUAACUACGUGCCAGCCGCCGCGGUAAAAC